AACCCCUGGAUCCCAUAAAGGGAGCAGGGAAAGGCUUAAAACCCACAGACGCCCAGGGCCGGCGCCCAGAGCCACCCCACCCAGCCGGCAGAAGGCACAUCCCACGGGCAGAGAAAGGGCCCAGGGCAGAGAGACAGCUGCGCGGGCUGGAAGGUUCAUGAAGGACUGAAGGACACGGGGCUCCCCUGGAGACGUGGAGUGAGGUCAGAAACUGCUGGGAGGCUCUGAGGAGUGAAAUGACCUCUGGAGUCUGUCUGGUAGGAAACCCUCCAAGGGUGUCCUACCAGGACCUUUGCCACUAGUGACUGAGUCUUUCCAACCGAGCUGAUUUCUGCAGCCUCUCAGCAUGAUCGGUCUCUCCGUGAAACUGAUGAGAUUCCCUGAUGAUGCUCCCUGACUCUGGUGGAAGGUGCAGGUGAAAUGAACACUUUCAUGGCUACUGAUUUCCCUUAGCAGAGCUGUGGAGUGUGACAAUGGUGUUUGUGUCCAAGCUAUCAAACGCCAUUAUCACACUAAAUAGCUACUGCUAGGCAAUCCUUCCGCUCCCUGAAGGCGUUGACGUCUGCUUGGUACGGGCAGGAAAGGUCAUCUCAUAGAGGUGCUCCCAGUCCCAUGUCAUUGCUGAGGACAUUCUGGUCCUUUUGUGCUCAUAACCAAGAUGUCAUCUGAAUGUUGCCUCUUCUCAUGCUGUUGUUUUAAAUAAGUUAAUUGAUUUUGAGCCUUUGUGUUUUCCCAAGUCAAUAAAAUGAUUGCAGCGUCCCCCAGAGCACCCAGGCACACGGUUAGUCUCGUGGUAAUUGUUCAACCCAUGCUUACUGAGUUGAAAUGGAGAGGAAGAGGGUAGAUGUGGAAAACAAACGGGUUUAAAUCUAGGGUUUGUAAACCACACGCUUAUAGAUAAAAAAUCAAGGUAUGUGGAUCUUCUACUUGUCAUCAUGAAGACAACUUUCUAAUAAACUUGUACAUGGCCUAAACGACC